GAAGAGGUGCCUGCAUUUCUCCGCAGGAUAAUAGGGAAAAGGGUGAAAAGCCCUUACGGUCCCGCCGCUGUAAGAGAAGAGUUUGUAUCCGGCCCCGUAUUUUCUCACGAAUACGGGUAUCACUGGGAAACCGGGAAGAGAGAGGAGACAGACGAAGAUGCUCAAGUCAGAAGACCUGCCCUUCCU
rnacentral:ncRNA from 1 species